UACGUAGGUGGCAAGCGUUGUCCGGAUUUACUGGGCGUAAAGAGCGCGCAGGCGGUCGUUCAAGUCGCGUGUGAAAGCCCCCGGCUCAACUGGGGAGGGUCACGCGAUACUGAUCGACUCGAAGGCAGGAGAGGGUAGUGGAAUUCCCGGUGUAGUGGUGAAAUGCGUAGAUAUCGGGAGGAACACCAGUGGCGAAGGCGACUACCUGGCCUGUUCUUGACGCUGAGGCGCGAAAGCUGGGGGAGCAAACGGG
rnacentral:rRNA from 1 species